rnacentral:rRNA from 1 species
UGUAUAAUGGGUCAGCGACUUAUAUUCUGUAGCAAGGUUAACCGAAUAGGGGAGCCGAAGGGAAACCGAGUCUUAACUGGGCGUUAAGUUGCAGGGUAUAGACCCGAAACCCGGUGAUCUAGCCAUGGGCAGGUUGAAGGUUGGGUAACACUAACUGGAGGACCGAACCGACUAAUGUUGAAAAAUUAGCGGAUGACUUGUGGCUGGGGGUGAAAGGCCAAUCAAACCGGGAGAUAGCUGGUUCUCCCCGAAAGCUAUUUAGGUAGCGCCUCGUGAAUUCAUCUCCGGGGGUAGAGCACUGUUUCGGCAAGGGGGUCAUCCCGACUUACCAACCCGAUGCAAACUGCGAAUACCGGAGAAUGUUAUCACGGGAGACACACGGCGGGUGCUAACGUCCGUCGUGAAGAGGGAAACAACCCAGACCGCCAGCUAAGGUCCCAAAGUCAUGGUUAAGUGGGAAACGAUGUGGGAAGGCCCAGACAGCCAGGAUGUUGGCUUAGAAGCAGCCAUCAUUUAAAGAAAGCGUAAUAGCUCACUGGUCGAGUCGGCCUGCGCGGAAGAUGUAACGGGGCUAAACCAUGCACCGAAGCUGCGGCAGCGACACUGUGUGUUGUUGGGUAGGGGAGCGUUCUGUAAGCCUGUGAAGGUGUGCUGUGAGGCAUGCUGGAGGUAUCAGAAGUGCGAAUGCUGACAUAAGUAACGAUAAAGCGGGUGAAAAGCCCGCUCGCCGGAAGACCAAGGGUUCCUGUCCAACGUUAAUCGGGGCAGGGUGAGUCGACCCCUAAGGCGAGGCCGAAAGGCGUAGUCGAUGGGAAACAGGUUAAUAUUCCUGUACUUGGUGUUACUGCGAAGGGGGGACGGAGAAGGCUAUGUUGGCCGGGCGACGGUUGUC